rnacentral:rRNA from 1 species
AGAAUCAACGCUGGCGGCGUGCCUAACACAUGCAAGUCGAACGCGAAAGGGGAGCAAUCCCUGAGUAGAGUGGCAAACGGGUGAGUAACACGUGGGUGACCUGUCUUCGAGUGGGGGAUAACGUCCCGAAAGGGACGCUAAUACCGCAUGACAUCCUGCUCUUGGACGAGCGGAGAUCAAAGCUGGGAUUCGCAAGAACCUGGCGCUUGAAGAGGGGCCCGCGCCUGAUUAGCUAGUUGGUGAGGUAACGGCUCACCAAGGCUACGAUCAGUA